AAGUCAGCACACCAUAUUUCUUGCAUACAUACUUCAGGGUUUUGUAUACGGGUAGAAAGCUAAAAAAUAGUAAAAUUUAUUGCUCAUUACACAACUUGAUGUGCAGAAAUUCAUUUGCCUUCUUUGUAAAAAAAUAUUCAGCUUUAAUUGAAAUCACAGAGAAACGCAAUGGAAGGUUAUGGGCCAAGGAACCGCAUUGACCAGUUAAGAGACUGGCAAGUUUAUAUAUGGACCAGUUAUUUAUAAUGGUACAUCAUCUGGUACGUGUUACAUAAUGCGUUUGUGUUUUGAUUUCCCGUCUUGAGAAAUACCCUUUUUGUUCAUCUCACUAUUACAGGGAGCAACCAUGCAAGGUUGUGACCAAACAAUCCUGUAGAACAGUUGGGAGAAGAACUGGAAGGGCCCAUUUAUACAUACGAACUGUUCAUUAUCACAAAAGCCUGGAAUACACAUAGAUAUGGAGAUCACAGAUACGUAAUUCACCUCAUGUUAGGGGCAUCCGUUGGGUGCUACAAUUGGACCCGUGGCUAAUCAUUUGUCCGCGCUGGCUUUUGCUUAUGUUGGCGGGUUUCUUCAAAUUAUUGCAGACAUUAUAGCUUCCUUCUUCUUGCUGAAUUCCUUAUAAUCCAGUUCUACAGAUGGCAUUAUCUGCUUUACAUGAUCAGCAUGCAGUCCAUUUACAAUUGCUUAAUUAUGUUUCCAAGGAAAUACAUUGGAUGGAUGUGUGCCAAGCAACCACAUAGGUCAUUUCAGAGACUAAUUGAAGAAAAAUCCGAUCUUUCAUUUGAGAUGUUCAUCAUCUCUGAAGCAUGAAGAAAGAUCCAAGAAAUUUUAUGUAUCUCGAUAAUUUUGCAAUGUUGCGUACAAUGUGCAACAGUUUGGAGCUCUGGCAGCGCACAUUGGAGAUAAUGCUCUUCUCUCAGGCUCAAUAUAUACUCAUUAUCUACAGUGCAAUACAUGAGAAGAGUUUUUGUCAAUGGAACUAUUCCCAGCUAAAUAGGUCAAUGCACCUGUCCAGCAAAUAUAAUUAAUCUACAGCAAGUGAGUCCAGCUAAAGGUCAAACGAGCAAAAUCCCAGAUUGAUGAGCCAAAUUGUUCAUGUGGAAAAAUAUAUUUUGUGUCUAGGCGUGGCCACAAACCUGACGUAAAAUAUAGUAGUAGUCAUCUAUUUGCAGCUUUGGCCAGUAUGAAUGACCUUAUCAGGCUACUACAAGCACUCUGUAUGACUAUGACAAAUGCUAUUACUGAAGUACUAGCAGAUCCUCUCUAUUUCUAUAGAUGCAGUAGUACCAACUUUCUAUUAAGUAUCUUUUCUUUUUCGCCUCAGAAUCACCCCACGGGCGCGGCGUGUCGCCGCGCCAACCUU